rnacentral:rRNA from 1 species
GAGCCCAGAGCCUGAAUCAGUGUGUGUGUUAGUGGAAGCGUCUGGAAAGGCGCGCGAUACAGGGUGACAGCCCCGUACACAAAAAUGCACAUGCUGUGAGCUCGAUGAGUAGGGCGGGACACGUGGUAUCCUGUCUGAAUAUGGGGGGACCAUCCUCCAAGGCUAAAUACUCCUGACUGACCGAUAGUGAACCAGUACCGUGAGGGAAAGGCGAAAAGAACCCCGGCGAGGGGAGUGAAAAAGAACCUGAAACCGUGUACGUACAAGCAGUGGGAGCCUCUUAAUGGGGUGACUGCGUACCUUUUGUAUAAUGGGUCAGCGACUUAUAUUCUGUAGCAAGGUUAACCGAAUAGGGGAGCCGAAGGGAAACCGAGUCUUAACUGGGCGUUAAGUUGCAGGGUAUAGACCCGAAACCCGGUGAUCUAGCCAUGGGCAGGUUGAAGGUUGGGUAACACUAACUGGAGGACCGAACCGACUAAUGUUGAAAAAUUAGCGGAUGACUUGUGGCUGGGGGUGAAAGGCCAAUCAAACCGGGAGAUAGCUGGUUCUCCCCGAAAGCUAUUUAGGUAGCGCCUCGUGAACUCAUCUCCGGGGGUAGAGCACUGUUUCGGCAAGGGGGUCAUCCCGACUUACCAACCCGAUGCAAACUGCGAAUACCGGAGAAUGUUAUCACGGGAGACACACGGCGGGUGCUAACGUCCGUCGUGAAGAGGGAAACAACCCAGACCGCCAGCUAAGGUCCCAAAGUCAUGGUUAAGUGGGAAACGAUGUGGGAAGGCCCAGACAGCCAGGAUGUUGGCUUAGAAGCAGCCAUCAUUUAAAGAAAGCGUAAUAGCUCACUGGUCGAGUCGGCCUGCGCGGAAGAUGUAACGGGGCUAAACCAUGCACCGAAGCUGCGGCAGCGACGCUUAUGCGUUGUUGGGUAGGGGAGCGUUCUGUAAGCCUGCGAAGGUGUACUGUGAGGUAUGCUGGAGGUAUCAGAAGUGCGAAUGCUGACAUAAGUAACGAUAAAGCGGGUGAAAAGCCCGCUCGCCGGAAGACCAAGGGUUCCUGUCCAACGUUAAUCGGGGCAGGGUGAGUCGACCCCUAAGGCGAGGCCGAAAGGCGUAGUCGAUGGGAAACAGGUUAAUAUUCCUGUACUUGGUGUUACUGCGAAGGGGGGACGGAGAAGGCUAUGUUGGCCGGGCGACGGUUGUCCCGGUUUAAGCGUGUAGGCUGGUUUUCCAGGCAAAUCCGGAAAAUCAAGGCUGAGGCGUGAUGACGAGGCACUACGGUGCUGAAGCAACAAAUGCCCUGCUUCCAGGAAAAGCCUCUAAGCAUCAGGUAACAUCAAAUCGUACCCCAAACCGACACAGGUGGUCAGGUAGAGAAUACCAAGGCGCUUGAGAGAACUCGGGUGAAGGAACUAGGCAAAAUGGUGCCGUAACUUCGGGAGAAGGCACGCUGAUACGUAGGUGAAGCGACUUGCUCGUGGAGCUGAAAUCAGUCGAAGAUACCAGCUGGCUGCAACUGUUUAUUAAAAACACAGCACUGUGCAAACACGAAAGUGGACGUAUACGGUGUGACGCCUGCCCGGUGCCGGAAGGUUAAUUGAUGGGGUUAGCGGUAACGCGAAGCUCUUGAUCGAAGCCCCGGUAAACGGCGGCCGUAACUAUAACGGUCCUAAGGUAGCGAAAUUCCUUGUCGGGUAAGUUCCGACCUGCACGAAUGGCGUAAUGAUGGCCAGGCUGUCUCCACCCGAGACUCAGUGAAAUUGAACUCGCUGUGAAGAUGCAGUGUACCCGCGGCAAGACGGAAAGACCCCGUGAACCUUUACUAUAGCUUGACACUGAACAUUGAGCCUUGAUGUGUAGGAUAGGUGGGAGGCUUUGAAGUGUGGACGCCAGUCUGCAUGGAGCCGACCUUGAAAUACCACCCUUUAAUGUUUGAUGUUCUAACGUUGGCCCCUAAUCGGGGUUGCGGACAGUGUCUGGUGGGUAGUUUGACUGGGGCGGUCUCCUCCUAAAGAGUAACGGAGGAGCACGAAGGUUGGCUAAUCCUGGUCGGACAUCAGGAGGUUAGUGCAAUGGCAUAAGCCAGCUUGACUGCGAGCGUGACGGCGCGAGCAGGUGCGAAAGCAGGUCAUAGUGAUCCGGUGGUUCUGAAUGGAAGGGCCAUCGCUCAACGGAUAAAAGGUACUCCGGGGAUAACAGGCUGAUACCGCCCAAGAGUUCAUAUCGACGGCGGUGUUUGGCACCUCGAUGUCGGCUCAUCACAUCCUGGGGCUGAAGUAGGUCCCAAGGGUAUGGCUGUUCGCCAUUUAAAGUGGUACGCGAGCUGGGUUUAGAACGUCGUGAGACAGUUCGGUCCCUAUCUGCCGUGGGCGCUGGAGAACUGAGGGGGGCUGCUCCUAGUACGAGAGGACCGGAGUGGACGCAUCACUGGUGUUCGGGUUGUCAUGCCAAUGGCACUGCCCGGUAGCUAAAUGCGGAAGAGAUAAGUGCUGAAAGCAUCUAAGCACGAAACUUGCCCCGAGAUGAGUUCUCCCUGACUCCCUGAGAGUCCUGAAGGAACGUUGAAGACGACGACGUUGAUAGGCCGGGUGUGUAAGCGCAGCGAUGCGUUGAGCUAACCGGUACUAAUGAACCGUGAGGCUUAACCUU